rnacentral:rRNA from 1 species
GGGGAAUAUUGCACAAUGGGCGCAAGCCUGAUGCAGCCAUGCCGCGUGUGUGAAGAAGGCCUUCGGGUUGUAAAGCACUUUCAGCGAGGAGGAAGGGUUCAGUGUUAAUAGCACUGUUCAUUGACGUUACUCGCAGAAGAAGCACCGGCUAACUCCGUGCCAGCAGCCGCGGUAAUACGGAGGGUGCAAGCGUUAAUCGGAAUUACUGGGCGUAAAGCGCACGCAGGCGGUUUGUUAAGUCAGAUGUGAAAUCCCCGCGCUUAACGUGGAACUGCAUUUGAAACUGGCAAGCUAGAGUCUUGUAGAGGGGGGUAGAAUUCCAGGUGUAGCGGUGAAAUGCGUAGAGAUCUGGAGGAAUACGGUGGCGAAGGUGGCCCCCUGGACAAAGACUGACGCUCAGGUGCGAAAGCGUGGGGAGCAAAACAGGAUUAGAUACCCUGGUAGUCCACGCUGUAAACGAUGUCGACUUGGAGGUUGUGCCCUUGAGGCGUGGCUUCCGGAGCUAACGCGUUAAGUCGACCGCCUGGGGGAGUACGGCCGCAAGGUUAAAAC